rnacentral:rRNA from 1 species
UUACGGGAGGCAGCAGUGGGGAAUUUUGGACAAUGGGGGCAACCCUGAUCCAGCAAUGCCGCGUGAGUGAAGAAGGCCUUCGGGUUGUAAAGCUCUUUUGUCAGGGAAGAAAAACCGGCUCUAACACAGUCCGGGAAUGACGGUACCUGAAGAAUAAGCACCGGCUAACUACGUGCCAGCAGCCGCGGUAAUA